rnacentral:tRNA from 2 species
GUGGUAGUUCAGUUGGUUAGAAUACCGGCCUGUCACGCCGGGGGUCGCGGGUUCGAGUCCCGUCCACUCC